AAACUCAAAUUUAUUCUUUCGUCUUUCCCCUGAAAUCGACCCAGAAGGAAGGAGGAGGAGGAGGAGGAAAAACGAAAUGGCAUCGUACACAAAGUUACCAGCAUUUUGAGGAGCUCAUGUAAACGCUCGCGAGAAGAAUGGUUGUUGUAUUUUGCGUGUGGUGGCAGCAUCGCUGGUAGCGAAAGAAGAAGAAGGGAGCGUGAACAGAGUGACAGGAGGCGAAAUAAUUUUCUUCCUUAAACAGCUGCAAUCUUCGUGGAACGAUCGUUGAUUGGUUAUCGUUAUGUUAAACAUAUAUAUCCGGGAUUUUAUUGCUACUUGUAUUUGCCUGAUGUUUUACGAGAUUGUUAGGAGAAACUGCGAAUAAAAUCGAGUAACGAUGAUACCCGGCUAGGUUGGGGCCGAUCAACGAAAGAUUCAUAAUGGCGCGUUAGAUGGAUAUGAGAAGAGGUUUUAUGAUUAGGGUUGGAUUUCGUUGAACGAUCGAUGGAACGAAUAUUGCUUUGGUGGAUUGUGGAUUUUGCGAAACAGGGAUACGCAAUGUGAUUUAUUUUAAAGGUAUUCAUUAAUCCUUCGAAUGAUUAUUACAUUCUGUUUAAAAUCGUUGUAUAAACAGUGGAGAUUAU